rnacentral:rRNA from 1 species
AGCCUGAACGCUGGCGGCGUGGCUAAGACAUGCAAGUCGUACGGGUGUAGCAAUACACCAGUGGCGAACGGGUGAGUAAUGUAUCGCUAAUGUACCCCGGAUUCUGGGAUAGCUGCCCGAAAGGGCAGGUAAUACCAGAUGAUAUACCCUUGUCGCAUGGCGAGGGUCUCAAAGGAGCAAUCCGCUCUGGGAGCAGGCGAUAUCGUAUCAGCUAGUUGGUGAGGUAACGGCUCACCAAGGCGACGACGCGUAGCCGGACUGAGAGGUUGGCCGGCCACAUUGGGACUGAGACACUGCCCAGACUCCUACGGGGGGCUGCAGUAACGAAUCUUCCGCAAUGCACGAAAGUGUGACGGAGCGACGCCGCGUGUGGGACGAAGCCCCUCGGGGUGUAACCACUGUCGAGGGAUAGAAGUUCUGAUCAUCCCAGAGGAAGGCACGGCUAACUCUGCGCCAGCACGGCCGCGGUAA